rnacentral:tRNA from 1 species
GACUUAAUAGUUUAAUUUUAAAACCUGAGACUGCAAUUCUCAAAUUACUGAUAAGUUUAAGUCU